UCGUAACAAGGUCUCCGUUGGUGAACCAGCGGAGGGAUCAUUACGAAAAGGAGUUCUCGGACUCUUAAACCCUUUGUGAACCUUACCUAUCGUCAGUUGCUUCGGCGGGAGGCCCCUGGGAGGGGCCCCGGGGCCCGGCCUGAGCCGGGCUCCCGCCGGAGGAGCGCAAACCAAACUCUUGCUGUACCUCAGUGGAACAUCCGAGUUAAAAUAAAAAAACAAGUUAAAACUUUCAACAACGGAUCUCUUGGUUCUGGCAUCGAUGAAGAACGCAGCGAAAUGCGAUAAGUAAUGUGAAUUGCAGAAUUCAGUGAAUCAUCGAAUCUUUGAACGCACAUUGCGCCCGCCAGUAUUCUGGCGGGCAUGCCUGUUCGAGCGUCAUUUCAACCACUCAGGCCCUGGUGCCUGGCGUCGGGGUAUUUCUGUAACAGGAAAUCCCCUAGAACCAGUGGCGGACCCGCCGCGGCUCCGAGCGUAGUAGUAAAAUAUCUCGCUAUGGAGGCCCGUGGGGGGAUUACCGGCCGUAAAACCUCUUCUUUACGGAAGAACUUCUCAAGGUGA
rnacentral:rRNA from 1 species